rnacentral:lncRNA from 1 species
ACAUGGAAAGCCACCCCUCUUCCCCAUGUGGCCUGGGGCCACGUUAGGGAAAGCCAGGGAGGGAAAUGAAACUGACCAAUAAAUCAUGUUUACCUAAGGAGACUGGGCGUGAUCUCAGAGCACUGACUGAAUCACUAUGUUGGGCUAACUCAAGUGGGUUGGACUAAAAUUUAGAUCCUCCCUCAGUAUCCAGCACGCGCAGAAUAGGUUAAUACCCCUUAGGGUCUCACCGAUGAGCUUGUGAGGCCAGUGGAGGUGAGUGGUGUUGAGGCCAACCUCAUUUUACAGGGAGGAGAGGGAACUUGAAGUGACCUUGUCCAAAGUUGUACAGCUGGUAGGUGGCACAGCACACAGAACCACAGGCUUAACCACCUCCCGGGGGCAGUCUAGGUGGCAAAUUGUGGAAUGGGCCCCUAAAGUAGCCACUGCCAAGGGUGGCUGUAAGGCAAAAAGAAAGAAUCCACAAGGCUUUCAGCCCAGAGCCCAGCACAGAGUGAGCACUUAGUAAACUUGUGACCGUUGCUUAUUUUACAGCUUCCUUUGGAAAGAAAUAGUUCAAAUAGUUUCAGAUAUUUUGGAAUUUUUGGCAUGGUGAUAUGAUUUUGAUUAUGUUUUUAAAGAGAAUCCUUAUCCAUUUUGGAGAUACACACUCAACUGUUUACAAAGAUGAGAUGAAGUGAUGUCUGAGGGCUUCUUCAGAAUAAUCCUUUUGGCAGAGGGCCCCAGUCACCCACUGCCACACACCUCGAGAACAAAAAGAGGUGGCCUCGUGAGCACAUCCCUCUCUCCCACAGAAGCAGCGUCUCUGACUGGUGUGAACAGGAGGGAGUGGAGACGUUUCCACU